CCGUAUGAAUCAUAGAGCUGUCUAAGAUUUGGGUUUUGAAAGGCUCGCCGAAGAAGGGGGCACACACGGACGUUCCAGCAAGCUUUAUUGGGGCGCAGUCUGCAGCCUGCGGGGCUGACUCACAGAAUGGAGACCAGCAGCUUCAUGGGCUCAGCUGGAAGCUUAUGCAGGUGUCUUGCAGGAGACAUCUGGAAUUAAUGGACCCAUCAUUAUCCUGAGAGUUCUUUGUCUUCUUCAUAUUCAUGUUGACGUCGAACCACAAGCCAAGUAAAGAAUGAUAGUUUGAAGACAUCUGGAGUCACAUGCCUCUUGGGCUGCAGAAAUAAUGGAACCACUUAUGAGAUCUAUUGCAUCCUGGAUGGAGGAGACAUGUACAAGGUUCAGGUCAGCUGUGAGGCCUCAGUGGCCUUUGAGGACUGGCAUUUGAAGAUUUUCAAAUAAAAAAAGAACAUACAAAACAUCAUGAGGUGCCCUUAGACUGUAGCAGCUGUUUCUCUCUUUACAGUAAAGACAAGAGAGCAGACAAAGCAGUCUUUGCAGAAAGGACCAAAACAUUUUAUCAGAUCUUGAAUGUCCCUCAAAGGCUGAUAAGUUAAAGGCUUGGACACCUGCCUGUGCGCGAGAGAGGUGGUGGAAACUUCAGAACUGGCACUCAGUGGGAGAGAGGUAGGUCAGCAGGAGGUGUGCCCUUUAAGGGGAUAUCUACCCUCCUUCCUGUCUCUUUUUUCGCUUCCUGG